rnacentral:rRNA from 1 species
UACGUAGGGUGCGAGCGUUACUCGGAAUUACUGGGCGUAAAGCGUGCGCAGGCGGUUCGCUAAGACCGAUGUGAAAUCCCCGGGCUUAACCUGGGAACUGCAUUGGUGACUGGCGGGCUAGAGUAUGGCAGAGGGGGGUAGAAUUCCACGUGUAGCAGUGAAAUGCGUAGAGAUGUGGAGGAAUACCGAUGGCGAAGGCAGCCCCCUGGGCCAAUACUGACGCUCAUGCACGAAAGCGUGGGGAGCAAACAGG